rnacentral:lncRNA from 1 species
GUGGGUACUAAAUCUUUUGCACAGCAUAGCCAGAAAUUUCCAUCAUGGUCUCUAAACCUGUAGCAGAAUGGAUCUAAAUGGAGGAUGGAUGUAACCUGAACAGAAAGAAAUCUGGGGCUAGCCAUUCUCUCCCAAAGCAGAGGAAUGUGGGAGAAACAGAGUUGUGGAACUAGACUGUGGACCAGUGAAAGGUUUGAGGUCAGAUCUUUCAUGUCUGAGAUAGGUCCUGGUGCUACCAGCUGACCACCCCCCCAAAAGAGCAAGCCACAUAACUGUCACCCACAUUCAGUGUGUGUAAUUAGGUCCCAUGCAGGUUCCCCAGCUGCCAGUCCAUAGUCCAUGAGCUCCCACUAGCUCAGGUCAACUGUCUCUGUGGUUUUCCCCAUCGAAGCAAAUGCAGUGACCCACAGCCAAGCACUGGGCUGAACUCCUGGAGUUCAGUUGAAGAAAGGAAGGAUCUUAUGAACAAGGUUUGUUUCCUGAAAAAGCAGCAGACGGGAGGAAGAGGAGGACAUAGGCCUAAGACACAGAACAAGUCAGCCUGGAUUCCAGACCACCAGGUGCUAAACUGGGAAUCUGCGCCAGAGCCUAGGAGGGAAAGAACUGAGCAGCAGGUACAUGUGCAGGCUGAUAAUCGGGAAUGAGAACUCGGAGAAUAAGGAUUGCACAAUGCAGAGUUCAGGGGCGGGGCUGUGUAGAAUGCAAGCCAGAGCACUGGCACUUGUACCUACUUAUCAUCAUGCUUCUUCCAAGCAAAGUUUCGGCAGGGUGUUCAGGAAGAGAUUUGAGCUGAACUUGGUCCCCCGCCCCCCAAAUGACUGAAUCCCACGAAGUCACACUUCUUUUUGGAUAUUUUCCAGCUUUAGUUGAAAGACCCCCGCCCUUAGCUUUUUCUUUUAAGUUUCCCCGCGCGCGCAGCUGGCGGAGCGCGUGGGGAAUACAUCCUCCCCAGCACUCUCCCCGACCCUUGAACCCUGCAGCUGCUGGCUCUCACUCCCCGCCCCGCGCAAGGCCAACCCCCGCCGGAUCGCUCCGGAUCGCUCUGUCCCAAGGCCAGCCAUCUGGACCAGCAGAAGAUAAGGCCGUUUCGCCUGACUAUUAAACCUUGAGAAAAUGCUGAUUUGAUGCUUUUCGCUUCUGUACUGUGCCUGUUUUCCCCUAUAAAAAGGACCCCCCUUCCGGGGCUCGGGGCUUGGCAAAACAGAAGCUAAGCCCCGGAUAUCCGUGUUAUUAAUAAAGC